rnacentral:tRNA from 1 species
UAGGGUGCAGCUCAGUGGUGAAGCACUUGCCUGGCAUGCAUAAGGACCUGGGUUCAAUCCCAGCAACUUCA